GUUCAAAGCAGGCAGAUCCAAUUUUCUGCCACCGAAUACAUUAGCAUGGGAUAAUGGAAUAAGACCCUGUCCUCCUAUUUUCAGUUGGUUUUGGCAGCGCGAGGACUAGGGUAAUGAUUAAUAGGGAUAGUUGGGGGCAUUAAUAUUUAAUUGUCAGAGGUGAAAUUCUUGGAUUUAUGAAAGAUUAACUUCUGCGAAAGCAUCUGCCAAGGAUGUUUUCAUUAAUCAAGAACGAAAGUUAGGGGAUCGAAGACGAUCAGAUACCGUCGUAGUCUUAACCAUAAACGAUGCCGACCAGCGAUUAGGAGACGUUGAAUACAAAACACCACCAUCGGCGCGGUCGUCCUUGGCGUCUCUCGGUCCUUCACGGGGCCGGGGCGCGGGGGCGGCUUAGCCCGGUGGCACCGGUGAAUGACUCCCCUAGCAGCUUGUGAGAAA
rnacentral:rRNA from 1 species